GAGAGUCAGCUUGCUUGCAUUCUAGAAACGGUAGCUUUCGCGCCCUUCCUGCCUGCUGAAAUUGAUUGAAUGAUCGUGACAGCUCUUCAAAUCCUAUUCAGUCUGAUUAGAUAUGUCACUGAAACAAUCCGUUCUGUCUCUGUUUUAUUUGCGGAUUCCGAGGAUGAGCCGGCCGAUCCUAACAUCUUUAUCUGAGGAGCCGGUCGACGAAGCCUCCUCCUCAGAUAAAGAUGUCUCCGACGCUACUCUCUCGGCAAGAACAACUUUAUCUAUUGUUAUUUUUUUGGCGGGUUCGGUCAGGAGAGACAAAAGAGAGAUUUUCUAUCAGUCAAAAGCAGAUAGCGCCCCCCCAUGCUCCCACGGUCCGCUUACCGAGGAAUAGAAAGGGAGGACCCGGGGCCAGAGCAAGUUGGGUUGGGGUAUAGAGCCGUAAGCGCGAUGGGGGGUGACAGAGGACGUGCUCGUACGGUUCAUAGAAGGGUAUGAUCAACUCGUUGAUUGUUGGGAACUUUUACUCCUCUAUAUUCGAAAUAUGCCUUUCUAGGAGCAUUACGAUCUGCAGCUCAAAUGGUCUCUUAUGAAGUCUCUAUUGGUCUUAUUCUUAUUGUGCGCCUUGUGAGCGCGUUUGGAUCCGCGAAGGCAAUCGCUCGGAUGUUCCCCUAACCCAACCCGGGAACGGACCGGAGGGAACCGCAGCAUGGGGAAUGUCCGCGUCUCGUCGCAAGGCUCAUUUUUAGUUGUGGGUCAUAGGGCGGGCUUCGGGCGGGCAGCUUUAUCUGAUCAAGGGCCGGGGCACAAGGGUCCUGGUACUAUCCAGGUGCGAAGAACCCCGGAGGUGACUGCAAUGAGCAGAAAUAUCACUCACCGGCCUAAACGACGAGCAAACACUCGAACGUGAGAGCAAGGGAUCACCCAACGAAUGGACGAGCUCCAAGGAGGUAGGAGAGAGGGAGGCAAAAACCAUGCUUUCAGAGAAGUGGCGGUCCGAAUCUUAUCUGAACUGCGAGAAUAACUGACUAAGCCGUGCCAUAAGGCCCAUUCUCCAACUCCAAACGGGACGGGGCCAAGCCUUUAGGUUGUUUAAGGAGGUUGGGUGACAGAUCGGCCAUAGGAGUACUCCGGGAUAUAAACAAGGGCAAAAAAUUUCGAGCAUACGACGAUGCCGCCCGUUUUCAUUUCAUGGAAGUCCCCGGCAGAGGAAAGGGCUGUAGGUGAUGGCGCGUUUUGCUUCUUAUCUGGAGAGGGGCGCUGAAAUCGUUCCUAUUGGGUCGUGCGUGGCAGCGAGUAUAGAUGAAUAAGGGUGGGCGGCCGCUUGAACGGGACCUAUUCUCUUAAUAGGCGGCAAAGCUGAAUAGGAAAGGGGCCGAGCUGACUGAUGAGUGCCUUUUUAGCCUUUUUCUAAAGGCUCUCAUGUGAAGCUAACAUGGCUGGCUACAUACAAGUAUAGCCAAAUCAAGAUGAGACGGGACGGACGGUCAGAGGCCGCAGCGGGACUACCAUAGGAAAGCCCGCCCCCGCUAGCUAACAUAGAAAGAUAUUCCCGGAUAACAGUAGUCUCUAUGUGAAUCUCUUCCCGACCAGGCCAGGCCGAAUCGGGCCACCACUUGGGAUGGGAAUGGCUCAGCCCACAUGCAUCAUUUGAUGAAAGCACUCCAGUCCAGUCGCCUCCUCGAAGUGGCUUGUCAACCACGCUUUCCCUCCCUCAAAAUAAUGCUCCUCACAAAAUGCCCUUCCUUGGGUUGGGGCAACACAGCAAUGAGUAGUUCGCUCCAGGACUCCACUCCCUCGAGAGCAGGAUGCCGGCCGAGAUGGAGCUGGGAGCCAACCUAGACUUUCCUGGGGCUUGCCUUGCCCCAACACCUAAAGAAAAGGCGGGCGCCGAAAAGGAAACAGCCCAGCCUCUUCAAGAAAGCUUUGCUUGGUAGGCGCUGCCUACUCACUCCGACAAUGCUCUGAACACGAAAGUGUGCAGUUCCGCCCCCUUCUCCCAUGCUGAGUCACAGGUAGCGCCUCAGAAAGCACGGACGAGCCACAUGCAGGGAAACUUGCACGUGUGGUUCUGGCCGGGGACCCCGGUAUACUGUACUAAUAUGUGUAGGUUCUUGUAAUUUGAGUGAGAUUGUCAUGGCGCAAAAGCAGAUAUGGUUUGGUAUUCCCUUGUUCCCUGUAUUGGUUAUGUUCUUUAUUUCUUGUCUAGCAGAAACUAAUCGAGCUCCGUUUGAUCUCCCAGAAGCGGAAGCUGAAUUAGUUGCAGGCUAUAAUGUAGAAUAUGCGCGGGAUGCGAUCCUUAAUAGUCCACUGUUGGCGGAAGCCAAUGUCCCGGGGUCCCGGGGACUCAUUCUGACUGAAACAAGGGGUGGGUCUUUACCAAUUUUGAAAAUAUUCGAUUUUAGGGAAGCCAAAAAACGUGAGCGCCUAGCACGAGCCUUAUUGAAUAUUGAAAAGGCCCCUUACUAUAGAUAAAGCCCCUGCAAUCAAACUCAAGGAAAGCCUUUUGACAACCUUACUAAUAGAAAGGGGAAAAAUGCGCUCAAACAACCUAUCUUACUAAUAAUAGGGUCGUUGUAAAGCUACAGCUCGAAAGCCGGCCUUACCUUCUAUUCUAUUAGUAAAGGGCUUUUCUUGCUUGUUUAGUAAAGUCACGCUUUUCAUUUUGAUAGGAGUAGGUGCUUUCUGGGGCAGGGCACUCUUCAUUCUUCAUUCGAAACUAAUGAAUGUCCGGUCGGGGGUUUCUGCCUUGUUAUCAAAAAGGGAGUUGGGUAAAGCAAACUCCCUCCUUGGACGAGCACGAGGCUUAGUCAAGUAGAACCGGGUUGCGUUGCUUGAUGCUCCGAUCGAAAACAAAUCAGUGGGGCCAUGCCGGUACGACUGAAUAUGCGUUAGAAAGGUCAAUCCCUCCCCUACGACACCAAAAAAAACCGGGCCGAACUUCUACCCGCCCGCUUCCAUAGAACAAUAUCGUGGCAACGUAGACCUAAGUGGUAUCAUAUCAUAUUGGAUCCUUGGGAACCAUCACAAGUACGGCCGGCCUAUAUUUGAACGAAAAUGCCGUGUCGUCCAGCGGAGCCUAGAAGAAGGUGACUCGCGCAGACAGCUGACUCCUUUUCAAUAGAAAGGAAUAGCCAAACCAACCCAGCUGUCUGGUCAAUCUCAGAGAUCUUAUCGGCCGGCAAACUGGAGACGGACGACCACGGUCCCGACCUUACCAGCACCAGAGGUGUACUAAUCAAUGAACUCCCGAAACCUACUUUCUUUUCUGACAAAAUCAACCAAGCCUAACUGGUCACGACAUGUUGUUGAUAUUGAUUGAGUUUGAGGGACUUUCGCUGACUGAAUUCAUCCAUAAACCCAGACCCCCGUAACCUUCGUAACCAAAGCGUCACGACAACAUCCAAAGGUGACUUUUGGAUUCUUAAGUAGGGGGCGGCAAGGAGGAGCACGUAGGAAUGCCGACCACUACUUAAGCCACUUGUGGCUGAGAGAAAGCGAGUAGCACCUUGUAUAGGUUGGGCGGAGCUUGAAGAAGGUAGCCCCUCUCAGAGAAAGCCAUUGCGCGCUAGCUUAGCUAGCUAGCGUUUUUCAGCUGGCUAUUAUGUUAGUUGUAGCGCGCCUUCCCUCCUUCUCUCACUUCGGAAAGAUUUUGCAGUAUUUUCUUAUGAUGACCUGGUCGAGGGAGUACGAUACAUCGGUGUAAAAGAUUGAGUGGGAUCUGUGAAGUUGGUUAUAGUAAGGCCUGACCGGUUGGGAAAGCGAUAUGGACAGGUCAACCCUGGUCGAUGUCCCGUGUUAACGGUAGCAUCGAUAUCUCGGGUUAGUCACCGAGACGCCCCCCCAUGGUGGGACAAGUUCCCCAUAAUUUAGGAGAGUUGUUGUCGACAUUGGCUUAGCGCAAUAGUCUUUGAUCUGGGAUACGGACUUCGGAGGGGAGUCACUUCCGAGUCGUCCAGCUGGCAACAUGGCGGAUGUCAGGCUGUAAAUGUAUAAAAAAAAACUAUGACUCACUAGUUCUUUCAAGUAUUACUGCGCUCAGUGUCGACUUCAUGGCGUGGGAUCUUUGAAGGUCCCAAGACCAUUAUCGCGGUCUUAAAUGAGGCCACGCUUUUGGUCUUCGACGAUUACACCAAGGAGAGAUGCAUCGCUGCAUUCCUUCUAGCCAAGAAGGUAUACUGGUUAAGGGUGAAAGAAGUCUUUUUAUUAAAGGCUCUUUAUCUAAAGCAGUGUGCCUCUGCGCUGCCACAGCAGCAGAUCGGUAUCUCGGCUCCUCCUCCAGUCCAGCUGUUCUCCACUGGUGCUUUUUCACCGUCAUGGCAGUUUCAAGGGCCACCACUUUCAGCCGCACCACAUCUUCCCUGGCCACAAUCCUCCCGUUCCACUCUGCAUAACUCGAACCCAGCAUUAUAAAGGACUGCUCUAUCAGAUUCUCGCUCGUCCUGGACUUCCUCAACAUCCCCAACACCAACUUUCUCCGUACAACCCUUACACGGUAAUCUCUCUUCCUCUUCACAUCUUUCUGUUGAUCCCUUCAUGUCCCAUGCUAUGUUUUUUUCUCACCCCUCUAUCCCUAAUUUCACAAUAGUAAUUGCCUUACGUCUAGAUAAUUCCAAUUAUUUGUAUUGGCGGGACCGGCUUCAUUUCUAU
rnacentral:misc_RNA from 1 species